rnacentral:rRNA from 1 species
CAUUGGAAAGUCGAACGCUCGUAGCAAUACGAGGCUGGCAGACGGGUGUAUGCAACGCGUGGGAAUCUACUGUCAUACGGAAUAACUCAGGGAAACUUGAAAUGCUACCGUAUGUGCCCGAAAGGGGAAAGAUUUAUCGCCAUUGGGUCAUCGGAUUAGCUAGUUGGUGGGGUAACGGCCCACCAAGGCGAAUGCAUCCGUAGCUGGUCUGAGAGGAUGUCAUAGCCACACUGGGACUGAGACACGGCCCAGGUCACUACGGGAGGCAGCAGUGGGGACUAUUGGACAAUGGGCGCAAUAGCAUCCAGCCAUGCCGCGUGAGUGAUAAGGCCCUAGGGUUGGUAAGCUCUUUCAUGCGGGACGAUAAUGACGGUACCCGUAAAGCAAGCCCCGGCUAACUGAGUGCCAGCAGCCGCGGUAAUAUUACGGGGGCUAGCGUUGUUCGCCGAUCACUGGGCGUAAAGCGCACGUAGGCGGAUCGUUAAGUCCCGUUGUGAAAUCCCGAGGCUCAACCUC